rnacentral:rRNA from 1 species
UACAGAGGGGGCAAGCGUUGUUCGGAAUUACUGGGCGUAAAGGGCGCGUAGGCGGCCUGUUAAGUCGAACGUGAAAUCCCCGGGCUCAACCCGGGAACUGCGUCCGAUACUGGCAGGCUUGAAUCCGGGAGAGGGAUGCGGAAUUCCAGGUGUAGCGGUGAAAUGCGUAGAUAUCGCUUGGAACGCCAACGGUGAAACAGGUGCUGGGGGUGUGCUGACGCUGAGACACGAAAGCCAGGGGAGCGAACGGG